rnacentral:lncRNA from 1 species
ACUUCUAAAAGCACCCCAGUCAGACUCUCUGUCUUUCUUUCUCUCUCUCUUUCUAUGUAUAUCGAGUCUGGCUGGGAUGCUUUUGAUAGCACCAAGUACUAGGUGUGAUCAAAUUUUUUAUUGUUAGAUUUACUCUUUUAAUCAUUUUUAUCUGUUAAAUUAUCCUAUUCAACCAACCACCAGCUCAACCCCUAGGGGACGAUAAUCAUCCUAACAAUCGCCUAUCCCUUCAUUCAAGAAUCGAAAAUCUAUUAAAAACAUUCCAGCCUAAUUCUAUAUAUAAAUAGUCUAGUGAAAGAAUGUUCAAUUAUGUUCAUCCAUUGAGAACAUGCACCCCAAACGAUUGAAUCAAUUAGAGAUUGUCCAGAAUAAAUCACAUACGCCACAUCAACAUAUGAUACUAUUUUUAUUACUCCAUCGAGAUUCUUUUGGCUUGAUAGCGUUAUAGCCAGGUUGAUUCGUUGCAUCAAAAACUACGAUGCAGAUUCAAUUGUGGGCAAACGAAAAAAAUUUAUUUGAUUGGAUGCAAUUGUAGCUGGACGGUGCAGUUGGCUCUGCAAAUGAAGAUCUAAUUACCUCAUUUCAAUCCAUGUUUAACUUAGACAUGUUCGGAAAUACAACAAUUGAAAAACAUAACUCCGUUAUAAAUAAACUUAUCUAUCCACUCAUCUCUUAAAUGAAAAAGGUACAAUUUUAUUUUCUUACGGUAAUUUCACCAUCUUUUAUAUAACAUUACAAAAUCCGUAAAUUCGAUCAACAUUCAACCGCAAUAAACCAUAAUUACAAUAUUCUCAAAUACAACCUACCAAAUAAUUUCAAUGUAAAUAUAACUACUAUAUUUUCAACCAUAUGUGUUUUUAAUUGCAUCGUGUUAACAACUAUACAUCCAAUAAUUGCUACUUUUUGGAAGUACAAAAAUUGUCUUAGAAUUCUUUUUUUAAUCUUUGUAAGAGAAAAGCAGCAAAGUAUUCACUUCUUUAUUUUAUUUUUUUAAAUUUUAGAGAGAUAGAUAGUAUUCUACCCACUUCGUUUAUUUUAUUUAAAAACAAACUUAGCUGGAAAUAUGAAUCAACUAAGAUUCAAACUUGGGAUCUCGGGUACCAACCACCAAACCCUUUGCCACUUACUCUAGAGAUGUUCGGUUCUUUAUCUUUUUUUUUGAAAUGAACUCAACUAGAAAUAUAAAAUAAUUAGUCUUUGAAUUUUGAACUUUAGAUACCAAAUAUUAAUUCUUAGCAAACUGCGUUAGAUAAAGUCGGCAUUAUGCUAAAAUUAGUCUAUAGAGCAUGUGUUAAUAAGAAGCAAUUCUAAUUGUAUACCAACAGUCUAAUGAGGCUACAAUAUUAUUGAUUGCAGAGAAGCAGUAUUUAUUAUCCAUUUAAAUACUAUAAUUACUAUUGAUAGUAUCCCGGAGAGGAGAAAGUCCGCUGUAUCACACUUACAUCACAUCAUUAAUAACAAGAUAAUUAUAUUUCUCUAUUUUUAAAAAAAGUAUAAUAAAAAUAUUUCUUUAUUAAUCAUGAUAGAACGUAUCAAGUAUCAACCCAAGAAGGAUAAUUCUAUUGGUUGAAAUGCCGCGUCAGCAAUAUAUUCGGUGUAUUUAGAUUUUUUUUUUUCUAAAGAGACCAAUAUAUCUGGUGCAUUUUAGA